AUCGAAGUAGUUUCUUAAUGCUAACAGUGUUGAAGACUUUCUCAUUUUGAUAGGUCUUAAUUUCAUACGUUAAGAUGUAGUCGGGAAGAUAAAUUCGCUCUCAGCUCAUAUGGAAUAAUUAACUGACACCAUAUAUACCGUAUUAGGUCACUAGCACACUAUGUAACUUAUAAUACUUUACUUAUUGUUUAAUGUGACAGAGAGAC
rnacentral:lncRNA from 1 species